AUUGAACGCUGGCGGCAUGCCUUACACAUGCAAGUCGAACGGCAGCGCGGACUUCGGUCUGGCGGCGAGUGGCGAACGGGUGAGUAAUACAUCGGAACGUACCCUGUUGUGGGGGAUAACUAGUCGAAAGAUUAGCUAAUACCGCAUACGACCUGAGGGUGAAAGUGGGGGACCGCAAGGCCUCACGCAGCAGGAGCGGCCGAUGUCUGAUUAGCUAGUUGGUGGGGUAAAGGCCCACCAAGGCGACGAUCAGUAGCUAGUCUGAGAGGACGAUCAGCCACACUGGGACUGAGGCACGGCCCAGACUCCUACGGGAGGCAGCAGUGGGGAAUUUUGGACAAUGGGGGCAACCCUGAUCCAGCAAUGCCGCGUGUGUGAAGAAGGCCUUCGGGUUGUAAAGCACUUUUGUCCGGAAAGAAAUCGCGCUGGUUAAUACCUGGCGUGGAUGACGGUACCGGAAGAAUAAGCACCGGCUAACUACGUG
rnacentral:rRNA from 1 species